AGCCGCGGUCCCCCCCCCCUGCCCCCCCCCGGGGCUGCCACCGCCCCUCCCCCCUUCCCCCCCCCCCCCCCGCCAAUACCACCCUCCUACCUUUGGGCCCAGGUUCUCCUUUGGGGCCUGGUGUGCCUGGGGGCCCCAUGCUCCCCUGCCUCCCUGAGGGGCCCUCUCUUCCAGCUGGACCAGGCUUACCUGGAGGCCCUGGGGAAAAAGGACCAGCCCAGUCAGUGACAUUGAAUCUCCUUGGAAGUGGGAAUGCAUAAAAGAUGGGGCUGUAAUAGAAGUCAGACAGGCAGCCUCCUCCCAAAGAUGUUGCCCUCACUCGCCGCCCUCCCCAGGAGCUCCAGCCUUCCCUGAAGUAACCCCGAGCCCCCUUGAGAAUGACCUUCCUCCUCCUGGGGCAGAAUCUGUGCGCGCCUACUGCCGUGGCCUAGCGGCAGCACGCCAUCUGCAGACACCUGCAUUCCAUGCCCAGCUGCUCACCAGGUGGUCCAGCGUCUCCCUUUGGUCCAGGUUCCCCAGCAGAGCCAUUGUCUCCUUUCGGCCCAGUGGGGCCAGCUGGUCCUGGCAUUCCUGCUCGUCCUGCAGGUCCUGGUGAACCUGUGGCAGAAAAGAUGGACAUAAAGCUGACCCAGCCUGCUGCCUUCAGGGUCAGGACCCUUGCAUUCUUUCAGGUUUCCGUAGGGUGUGGACACUCCCCCUCCAGGUGUCUGAUCCAGUGGCGAUGUAGGAAAUGCGUGUUCACAUCUCCAUUUUACAGGAGAAGGAACAGGCUUGCAGAACUGGAGGCAGAAACAAAACUAGACCCCCCUGACUUUGCAUACAAUGCACCUGCCCCUGCCCCAAGGCCACGGUAUUUAUGGCAGAAUCUCUCUGUGGAACAUGGCUUUCUGCCUAGCACUGAGCAGGAAGUAAAUGUCAGCACCAGGUCUUGGUCUGCAAGGAAGUUGUCACUGAGUUUUAAACUGUGAGGUACAGGUAAUAAGUGAAGAAAACAGCUUAUGAGAUGUCCCUCAUCCCAUCCCAGCACCCACAACCCUUGGACACACAUGUACUCAUAAGAAACAGGACUUCAUUGCUGAAGAGGAUUCAGAGACCUGGAGAGGAGAGAUGACAUUUCAGAUCUGGAAACCAUUCCCCCAGGGUAAGAAGGGCCAGGCUUGCCUGGG
rnacentral:lncRNA from 1 species